rnacentral:rRNA from 1 species
UACGUAGGGGGCAAGCGUUGUCCGGAUUUAUUGGGCGUAAAGAGCGUGUAGGCGGCCUGGUAGGUCAGCUGUGAAAACUCGAGGCUCAACCUCGAGAUGUCGGUGGAAACCGUCUGGCUAGAGUCCGGAAGAGGAGAGUGGAAUUCCCGGUGUAGCGGUGAAAUGCGCAGAUAUCGGGAAGAACACCCGUGGCGAAGGCGGCUCUCUGGGACGGUACUGACGCUGAGACGCGAAAGCGUGGGGAGCGAACAGG